GAAGCUGACCAGACAGUCGCCGCUUCGUCGUCGACCUUUCGGGGAGACGGGCGGAGGGGAGGAAAGUCCGGGCUCCAUAGGGCAGGGUGCCAGGUAACGCCUGGGGGGGAAACCCACGACCAGUGCAACAGAGAGCAAACCGCCGAUGGCCCACGUAAGUGGGAUCAGGUAAGGGUGAAAGGGUGCGGUAAGAGCGCACCGCGCGGCUGGUAACAGUCCGUGGCACGGUAAACUCCACCCGGAGCAAGGCCAAAUAGGGGUUCAUAAGGUACGGCCCGUACUGAACCCGGGUAGGCUGCUUGAGCCAGUGAGCGAUUGCUGGCCUAGAUGAAUGACUGUCCACGACAGAACCCGGCUUAUCGGUCAGUUUCACCU
rnacentral:RNase_P_RNA from 11 species